rnacentral:rRNA from 1 species
AUUGAACGCUGGCGGCAGGCCUAACACAUGCAAGUCGAGCGGAGCGGCGGACGGGUGAGUAAUGCCUAGGAAUCAGCCUGGUAGUGGGGGAUAACGUCCGGAAACGGGCGCUAAUAACGCAUAAUAUCAGAUGAGUCUAGGUCGGAAUAGCUAGUUGGUGGGGUAAAGGCCUACCAAGGCGACGAUCCGUAACUGGUCUGAGAGGAUGAUCCGACACACUGGCACUGUGACACGGGCCAGACUCCUACGGGAGGCAGCAGUUGGUAAUAUUGGACAAUGGGCGAAAGCCUGAUCCAGCCAUGCCGCGUGUGUGAAGAAGGUCUUCGGAUUGUAAAGCACUUUAAGUUGGGAGGCGUUACCAACAGAAUAAGCACCGGCUAACUUCGUGCCAGCCGCCGCGGUAAUUC